AUUAUUCUAAAAUGCAAAAUUUAAAUUCUUUUGAGAGUAAUUUUAAGUUAAGAAACAUGAUACCUCUCAGAAUCCAGAAAGUGAACUGUUUGGAGAAGGCACCAUGAAGAUGCCUCCACAGACCCACACACUGUACCAGAAGAUCCAGAGUGAACUUUGGGAUGUGGUGAAUCUGAACUGGAUGGGGUUUGUGGAAAGGAAACUAGACUAAUAGUUUGUGUGGGGGAAGGGCCAACUGGGAGUGGCAGUUGGGUCUUGUGACUAGUACUUCCUGCCUGCCGGGUGGGACUUGCUUCCGGGUGUUGGAGGAGAGUGGAGCUUGUUCAGCCCAGUCUGGAGUGGCAUGCUCUUCUUGGUUCAGCCCAAAGACACAGGCUUCUGAAGACCUACAUUCUGAGAGUUUUGUUUCUAUAAGAAAGGUUUCCCAUAGGAAGUGUCACAGGAACCAAAUCUUAAAGGAUUUUAGGCUUCUAAGAAGGAGAUCAGGAGGACUGAUCUCCCUGAAAAACAAACAAACAAAACAACAGAGUCAAGAGUGUGCAAGCUGAGUUCAAGGAAGAGCAGAAUUCUUGCUUGGGAGUUGCAUCACCAAGUUGACCAAUUCAUUCAUUCAUAG
rnacentral:lncRNA from 1 species